rnacentral:rRNA from 1 species
UACGGAGGGUGCAAGCGUUAUCCGGAUUCACUGGGUUUAAAGGGUGCGUAGGUGGGUAGGUAAGUCAGUGGUGAAAUCCCCGAGCUUAACUUGGGAACUGCCGUUGAUACUAUCUGUCUUGAAUAUCGUGGAGGUUAGCGGAAUAUGUCAUGUAGCGGUGAAAUGCAUAGAGAUGACAUAGAACACCAAUUGCGAAGGCAGCUGGCUACACGGUAAUUGACACUGAGGCACGAAAGCGUGGGGAGCAAACAGG